rnacentral:rRNA from 1 species
CAGUAGCCGCGGUAAAACGAAGGGGGCUAGCGUUGCUCGGAAUGACUGGGCGUAAAGGGCGCGUAGGCGGCUUGUACAGUCAGAUGCGAAAUUCCUGGGCUCAACCUGGGGACUGCAUUUGAUACGUGCGGGCUUGAGUGGAGAAGAGGGUUGUGGAAUUCUCGGAGUAGCGGUAAAAUGCGUAGAUCUCGAGAGGAACACCAAUGGCGAAGGCAGCUUCUUGGUCCAUUCCUGACGUUCAUACACGAAAGCGUGGGGAGCAAACAGGAUUAGAUACCCCUGUAGUCCCUGUCUCUUAUAC